rnacentral:ncRNA from 2 species
UUUAAUAUUUGGCAAAGCAGACGAAAGUUUGUGACGCAAAGCUUUAGUCUAAAGCGGAUUUCGCUAUGAUUGUCAAGUUGCAAUU